CCACAGGCAACGGCCCGAAGGGCGAGGCGCUUUAGCGCCGAGUAAUCCUUCCCCCACCACCA
rnacentral:sRNA from 1 species